rnacentral:lncRNA from 1 species
GAAUUUGAAAAAAAAAAUUAUUCUUUCUAUUUGAAUUUGUUUGUCUCAAAAAUAAUGAUUAUUUCUUUUUUAGCAAAUUUUUUAAAUUUCAACUCACUUUUUACCUAACAUGUUGAAAGUCAAAUGAAAUACGUAAUAUUUAUGAAAAAAGUGAAAAGUACUUAUUUUGCCUGUACAGAGCAAGACUUCCAAGAAAAGGGGGAGAAAGGGGAGAGAGAUUUGCGAGACACAAGGAAACCACGUAGAGGCGGAGAGGCAGAGAAGAGAGAAACUUAACUCUCGAUUCUAUGCGUUGCGCGAGGUGGUUCCAAACGUAACGAAAAUGGACAAAGCCACAUUGCUAUCAGAUGCUGUAACAUAUAUUACCCAACUGAAAGCUAAAGUGGAUGAAUUAGAAUCAAAACUUCAUAACAAUUACUAUUAUUCAGAGCACAAGAAGAAACACAAAAUGGAAAAUGAUAAUGUAGUGGACAACCAAAGCUCUACCACUUCUUGGGAUCAUGUAAGGAGCGCUUUCUUCUCGUAAAACAUAUUCACUCUGUUCAUUUUUAUUUGUCAAUUAUUUCAAAGAUUGAGUUUCACUUUUAAUAAAUCAACAAAAGACAUUUUUUAAAUUAUGUGUUCAGUCAAAUAACAUCACCUAAAUUGAGAUGGAAUGAGUAUUUCUAAAAGGAUUGUUUUGAUCACUUCUCCAAGAAGGCUUAUAUUUAUAGAGUUGGAAAAAAAGAAUUAAUUCAAAAUAGUCAUCUUAAUUAUUCCAUGAAAAGACAUGUUAUAUAUGUUAAUUUAAAUUUAUUAAGUUUUAAUAAAAACAAAAAUAUCUAAAUAUAAAUUUAAAUUAAAAAUAGAAUUUUGAAUUUUAUAAUUUUAAAUAUGUCACAAUAUGCAUGUGUCUCUUUUAAUUUCUCCAUUAUUAUUAUCACAACUUCUUCAGUAUUCCCUUUUCAUAUUUACUUUAAAAUAGUUUAUUUGAGCCAAACAUCUAUUGGACACUUCUAGAUCUACCUUCACAAGAUAGGAUAAUGUCUUUAUGCGCACCGCCUUUUCUGAAUUCCUAUUUAUGAAAUUACACUGAUAUGUUAUUGUUGCCAAGAUAUGCAUGUGAGAAAACUAUAAUAAUAAAGCCUCCAAACUAUUUUUUUUUUACUUCCAAUGUGACACAAUCCCAUUUCAAAUGUUACAAAGUAUCUCACAUUAUCUUGUGCAACAUUUGAACCAAACAACCAGACUAUGGAAAUUGAAGUGAAGAUGGUAGGUCAAGAUGCCAUGAUUAGGGUUCAAUCAGAAAAUGUGAAUUAUCCAUCAACAAGAUUGAUGUGUGCUCUUCAAGAAGUUGAACUACAUGUCUACCAUGCCAACAUCUCAAGUGUCAAUGAUCUUAUGCUACAUGACAUACUUGUUAAAGUUCCUCAAGGAUUGGAGACUGAAGAUGAAGUAAAAAAUGCUCUACUUAGAAGCUUAAAGCAAAUAACAUGUUGAUAAUUACCUAUUGGAGACUGAAGAUGAAGUAUGAUCUUCAAUCUCUUCUUUUCAUUUUUAAUCUUACCGUCAGAUCUCUCAAUAACAAUCACGUAUGCUUUGACAUUUUUUUGGAUUGAGAAUCGACUUCGGAUUUACUCAUUUGAUAGCUAAUGAGUAGGAAAAGAAGUGUAGGGUUUUCGCUUACACGUCUAAGAAAAGGGGUGAUUGGUCGGUUUAAUGUAUUAUCGAUUUGGUUUAUCGGUUUUUGGUUUUUAUAUACAUCAAAUCAAUAAGCUAGUUUUAUCAAUUUUUUAUCCUUAACGAUUCGAUUUCGAUUUAACUAAUAAGAAAAUGCUCUCUUGACAAUUUGACGCGACAAGACAAUAAUAUAACUUUAUAGAAUGCUCAUGAAAUAGAAACAAUAGUAGCUAACAUGAAAAGAUCUAUAAAAGUGCAACACAAAUUAAAGAGUAAAAAAAACUAUUUUUAUGACAUACUAUAUCCUUAAUUUAUGACAUAAAAUUAUUUAAUUUUUUUAAAAAAAAUUCUCUUAAUAAGACCUUAUAGAUCUCGAAUCAAAAUUAGUUAGAUUUCAAUAUAAUAUAAAAUCCUGAAUGAGUAAAAAAAAAGUUUUUAUGAUAUACUAUAUCCUUGUAUGGUAAGUUUUUAUAUGGGUUAAUAUCUUAAAAGGUCAUUGAACCAAUGGCGGAGGGAGAAUUUUCAUCAAGGGGGUUCAAAAAAAAAUUAAUCACGUAAAUAAUAUCCACAAAUAAAUUAAACGGGUCGAAUCGGAUAUAAACGGGUCGGAUUAAACUGUCGAAUCAAGAAGAAAAGGGUUUUUUAAUAUUUGACUUUAUAAUUAGGGAUUAAACUAAUAAAUCCUAAAUUCCCAAUCAGCGUUUUAAUUUUUUGGAACUAAACAUCAUUUUCUGAUUGCAUUAUUAUAUUUUUAAAUAAAUUAAAACGCCUAAAAUAUAAGCUGAUAAAAGAAAUGCCUCUGCCCGGAUUCGAACACGCGACCUCGCGUGCAGUANNNNNNNNNNNNNNNNNNNNNNNNNNNNNNNNNNNNNNNNNNNNNNNNNNNNNNNNNNNNNNNNNNNNNNAAGCAUAUGUUUUCCCAAUGAGUUGAUUCAGUAAGAAAUCGAAGGAAAAAUCAUGUUUUAAUAAAAUACUUCUAAAUUCCAAUAUGACUUUUUCAAAUUCCAAGGGAAAGCUCCAGUUCUUUAGAGUUUUGAUUCGAGGAAGAUGAUGGUUGUUGUGUGUGUCUUUUUGUUAAUUGCGUAGUUAGUAGUGCAUACACGUUAUAUGAUUAGGAAAACUGAAAAGACAGUAUAUGAAAUGGAAGUUGUUAUCAAUCGUAUGCAAUGAAUACGUUACAUGAGUAUACAUGGGUAUCUGAUAUUGCACUUGCUUUUUCUUUGUUGAGUACCGUCUACAUUCCAACGGUUGUUUCGAGACCUCAAUUGUGAGACUUCCGUCAUCUAAAUCCAAGGGAGAUACUUCCUUCAGACUACUAUGGAUUUCUCUUUUUCCUUCUUAGUCCAUUAUUCCGACUCAGACAUUCUAAACUUAUGUUUUUUUAUUAUUUGGGCUUCCAUCCUCUAUCCUAGACUGUUAGAUGUUUUGAUACUAUGACUUUCAAGUUUUAGGUUACGCAAUCGUUUUAAUUGACUAGUUAAAUUUAUAGAAGCUCAAACUUAUAAUUGUUUUAAGACUAUUUUAUUAGCGUUUUAUUCCAUGGUUUGGUUUUAAAAUGGUUGAUGGGUUAGUCUUGGGUUGGUAGCUGGUUCUCCCACUAAAGGGUUAGUGUGGGUGUCACUCACGACAGAUCAAGGUCGUGACAAAUUUGUUGUUUAACUUUCGAAUUCAAACACCGUCAGAUAAAUUGGAACAAAAUGAGGAAGUUAGGUAUGAGGCUAUGAGCACAUAUAUAUAAGUUGAGUUAAUGGUGUUCCUUAUCAUACGUGCUUCAAAUAUUCAUCUCUCUUUAUUACCAAAAAUGGAUGAACCAAUCUUUUCCACUUCAUCAUCACCAUCAAGCCUUCAACAUAGGCUUCAAUAUAUUUUCAAGAAUCAAACAAAUUAUUAUUCUGAUUGGGCGUAUGCUAUUUUCUGGCAAUCGUCGAAUAAUAGUCUGUCUUUAACAUGGGGUGAUGGCCAUUUAAACAUGAAGACGACGAAUAAUAAAGACGUCGAAUGGUUCUACUUGAUGUCUUUAGCUCAGUGUUUUUCUGUUGGUGAAGGAGUUGUUGGAAAAUGUUUUAGUAGUGAUUCUUUUGUGUGGCUAACAGGGGAUCAACAAUUUGAGUUUUGUCAUUGUGAAAGGGCUAAAGAAGCUCAUUAUGUUCAUGGGAUUAAUACUUUUGUAUAUAUUCCAAUUUCUAGUGGUGUGCUCGAACUAGGCUCGAGCACAGUGAUUAAACAGGACUUGAACUUGGUUCAACAAGUCAAGUCUCUGUUCUUUGGUUAUGAAACAAUUGGUCCAAUUGAUGAUUUUGGUCUUUUCAAUUGUUUGGAACAAUAUGGUCAAGAAGCAAAGAAAGGUGAAAUAGUAGUAGGUACAACACCACAGGAAAACAAAGUUGGAUUUAAGGUGAGUUGCUUCAACUGAAUUUAUUGCUUUCGCGUUGAUAUAUGUUACAUCUAUACUAUGGAUAUUCUAACAUUUACUUGGACAAGUGAGUCAGUUCAAGUAGUUGAACAUAUCCACCAAAAGAGAGAGGAUUUGAAUCACGCUGAAGGAUAAGUAAGAAUGUUAAGAAGAUACUUUUCUCCGUCUCAAUCUAUAUAAUGUAAUUUGACUGACCAUGAAAUUCAGAAAAGAAAAGACUUUUUUUAGUUCACAUUUCUUUCAUUUAAUUGAAUGUAUGUGCAUCAUUCUUGCUUUUUCUAAAAAAAAUCUCAAGUUAGUGGCCAUUUGGGCAUUAGAAUUGAGGAAUUUGAAAAAAAAAAAAAAUUCUUUCUAUUUGAAUUUGUUUGUCUCAAAAAUAAUGAUUAUUUCUUUUUUAGCAAAUUUUUUAAAUUUCAACUCAGUUUUUACCUAACAUGUUGAAAGUCAAAUGAAAUACGUAAUAUUUAUGAAAAAAGUGAAAAGUACUUAUUUUGCCUGUACAGAGCAAGACUUCCAAGAAAAGGGGGAGAAAGGGGAGAGAGAUUUGCGAGACACAAGGAAACCACGUAGAGGCGGA